rnacentral:rRNA from 1 species
GACGAACCGGACAAACGUUAUUCGGAAUUACUGGGCUUAAAGGGUUCGUAGGCGGCCUUGUAAGUGAGAUGUGAAAUCUUUCGGCUCAACCGAGGAACUGCGUUUCAUACUGCAAGGCUGGAGGGAGACAGAGGUAAGCGGAACUGAUGGUGGAGCGGUGAAAUGCGUUGAUAUCAUCAGGAACACCGGUGGCGAAAGCGGCUUACUGGGUCUCUUCUGACGCUGAGGAACGAAAGCUAGGGUAGCGAACGGG